CAGCCGCCACGGGAAUACGUAGGUGGCAAGCGUUGUCCGGAAUUAUUGGGCGUAAAGCGUGCGCAGGCGGUUCUAUAAGACAGCCGUGAAAUCCCCGGGCUCAACCUGGGACCUGCAUUUGUGACUGUAUAGCUAGAGUACGGUAGAGGGGGAUGGAAUUCCGCGUGUAGCAGUGAAAUGCGUAGAUAUGCGGAGGAACACCGAUGGCGAAGGCAAUCCCCUGGACCUGUACUGACGCUCAUGCACGAAAGCGUGGGGAGCAAACAGGAUUAGAUACCCCUGUAGUCCCUGUCUCUUAUAC
rnacentral:rRNA from 1 species